UCAGCUUGACAUUUUUUAGCAUGUUGGGGUUCCUUUGGUGGAGAAUUGUUUGGCUGGUUUCAAUAGUUCUGUCUUUGCUUAUGGACAGACGGGGAGUGGGAAAACGUAUACUAUGUGGGGUCCUGCCAAUUCUUUGGCUGAAGAAAAUGUAGCAAAAGAGCAACAAGGACUUACACCCCGUGUUUUUGAGAGACUGUUUGCGCGCAUAAAGGAAGAGCAAACAAAGCAUUCUGAUCAACAGCUCAAUUAUCAGUGCAACUGCUCUUUUCUUGAGAUAUACAAUGAAAAGGUCACAGAUCUGUUGGAUCCGAGUCAAAGGAACCUUCAGAU